CUGUCCUCGAACUAGACACAAUUUGGGAUAGUUUCAUUCACUGAUAACAGGAGUACGAAUUACGAAAAGUGUGCAACUGGUAUCAGUACCGUGAAAAUAAAUUUGAUUAGAUCAAGCAGAAGUUAUGCUUUAAAUUGGAGAAAGUAAAUUCUUCAAUGAGAGAGCGCGCGAUCGGGGAUUGAAACUUUCCUUCGGAGUUACUGGGGGAAAAUAAUUUCUAUUUCGAGGACGCAAGGUCAACUUUUCAUCAGAGAGGUGGUACUCUCUCCUCAAAUACUUGGCGAACAACUUCCUGGGCGCCGGACAAGGUAUCCGGCCGUUGGUGGGAGGCUCUCGGUACCAUAAAAAUCUGCGCUAACACCUGGCAUCUCACGGAGAGCGAACUGUCCGAUACGACUUCCUGACAAAGCGUGGAAUUCUUUCGGAUAAAUAAUGUCGAAUGUGUUACGUAUAAAUAAUGAUAAUGUGCUAUUCGGGACGGUGUAGACGUCUUGACUGUCAAGGUAUCCUUACCGUAAAUAAGUCUGGUGCAUAAACAUAAAUUCUGCAGCGUUGGCUAAUUAGAAAUUUCGUUAUGAAUGUAUGAGAGUAAAAAUAACUGACAUUUAAGUUUAGCUAAAUAUUCGGAACCUAUGAAGUUUUCAUUAUUCACUUUUAUAUUCAUUCAAUCAAUGCUGAUAUUAAUUAUGACAGUCAUCGCGUCAAAGCCGAUUUAUCACCGGCAUUUAUCGGAGUGAUUGAGAAGAGAGGAAUGUGUGUGUGCCC